UUACACAGCCAUAUCACCCUGCAGCUCAAGACUGGUUACUCACUGAAGCUAAGCAGGGCUGAGCCUGGUCAGUACCUGGAUGGGAGACCACAUGGAAAAACUGGGUUGCUGUUGGAA
rfam:Danio rerio chromosome 14 genomic contig CTG1487, GRCz11 reference primary assembly.